AGUGAACGCUGGCGGUAGGCCUAACACAUGCAAGUCGAACGGCAGCACAGUAAGAGCUUGCUCUUACGGGUGGCGAGUGGCGGACGGGUGAGGAAUACAUCGGAAUCUACUUUUUCGUGGGGGAUAACGUAGGGAAACUUACGCUAAUACCGCAUACGACCUACGGGUGAAGGCAGGGGAUCUUCGGACCUUGCGCGAUUGAAUGAGACGAUGUCGGAUUAGCUAGUUGGCGGGGUAAAGGCCCACCAAGGCGACGAUCCGUAGCUGGUCUGAGAGGAUGAUCAGCCACACUGGAACUGAGACACGGUCCAGACUCCUACGGGAGGCAGCAGUGGGGAAUAUUGGACAAUGGGCGCAAGCCUGAUCCAGCCAUACCGCGUGGGUGAAGAAGGCCUUCGGGUUGUAAAGCCCUUUUGUUGGGAAAGAAAAGCAGCAGGUUAAUACCCCGCUGUUCUGACGGUACCCAAAGAAUAAGCACCGGCUAACUUCGUG
rnacentral:rRNA from 1 species